GACGAACGCUGGCGGCGUGCUUAACACAUGCAAGUCGAACGGAAAGGCCCUGCUUGCAGGGUCCUCGAGUGGCGAACGGGUGAGUAACACGUGGGUGAUCUGCCCUGCACUUCGGGAUAAGCCUGGGAAACUGGGUCUAAUACCGGAUAGGAGCCAUUUUUAGUGUGAUGGUUGGAAAGUUUUUUCGGUGUAGGAUGAGCUCGCGGCCUAUCAGCUUGUUGGUGGGGUAAUGGCCUACCAAGGCGGCGACGGGUAGCCGGCCUGAGAGGGUGGACGGCCACAUUGGGACUGAGAUACGGCCCAGACUCCUACGGGAGGCAGCAGUGGGGAAUAUUGCACAAUGGGCGCAAGCCUGAUGCAGCGACGCCGCGUGGGGGAUGACGGCCUUCGGGUGGUAAACUCCUUUCGCUAGGGACGAAGCUUUUGUGACGGUACCUAGAUAAGAAGCACCGGCUAACUACGU
rnacentral:rRNA from 1 species